rnacentral:rRNA from 1 species
CCUACGGGCGGCUGCAGUGGGGAAUAUUGCACAAUGGGCGCAAGCCUGAUGCAGCCAUGCCGCGUGUGUGAAGAAGGCCUUCGGGUUGUAAAGCACUCUCAGCGGGGAGGAAGGCGUUAAGGUUAAUAACCUUGGCGAUUGACGUUACCCGCAGAAGAAGCACCGGCUAACUCCGUGCCAGCAGUCGCGGUAAUACGGAGGGUGCAAGCGUUAAUCGGAAUUACUGGGCGUAAAGCGCACGCAGGCGGUCUGUCAAGUCGGAUGUGAAAUCCCCGGGCUCAACCUGGGAACUGCAUUCGAAACUGGCAGGCUAGAGUCUUGUAGAGGGGGGUAGAAUUCCAGGUGUAGCGGUGAAAUGCGUAGAGAUCUGGAGGAAUACCGGUGGCGAAGGCGGCCCCCUGGACAAAGACUGACGCUCAGGUGCGAAAGCGUGGGGAGCAAACAGGAUUAGAUACCCGUGUAGUC